rnacentral:lncRNA from 1 species
GGAUUUUGGAGCUUAUAUGAUGAUAUUUUGAUGUUAAAUAAGCUUGGAAUUCAUGGUAAAGAUGCCACAAUACAAGGGAUCAAGAGGGGAGACUGAACACUUAACCAAAUUUAUGAGAGCAAAUUCCAGUAGCUCUAGGCGAUAUUAAGGCGCUGUCCCACCUGGACCGGGGCUAUAGUCAGGGCGCCACCCCACCUAUAGCAGUUCAGAACCCAAGGUGCUG